rnacentral:rRNA from 1 species
UUGCCAGCACGUAAAUGGUGGGAACUCUAGGGGAGACUGCCGGUGACAAACCGGGAGGAAGGUGGGGAUGACGUCAAGUUCAUCAUGGCCCUUACGGCCAGGGCUACACACGUACUACAAUGGUCGGGACAGAGGGCAGCGAGACCGCGAGGGUGGAGCCAAUCCCAAGAAACCCGAUCCCAGUCCGGAUUGCAGUCUGCAACUCGACUGCAUGAAGUCGGAAUCGCUAGUAAUCGCAGAUCAGCAUUGCUGCGGUGAAUACGUUCCCGGGCCUUGUACACACCGCCCGUCACACCAUGGGAGUUGGUUGCUCCAGAAGCAGGUAGUCUAACCGCAAGGGGGACGCUUGCCACGGAGUGGUCAAUGACUGGGGUGA